CGAGGCUGACCCCUAGCACCCCUUUCCUUCACAACCCCCCACUUCCACUUCCGAAACACAGGCCAGGAGGACCUGCACCCUCGCUUUCGUUUCUUUCUGUGUUUGUUUUUUCACUUCCUGAGUCAUUUAAAGUGGCGAUGCCUUCCCGCUCUCCCGGUCAAGGCAGUGGACAAAGCGGUGUCGGUUUGGAGACUGAUUUCCCCACCGGGAUAUUUAUUAAGAUCGGGUUUUCUGUACUUUUUUUUUGUAAUUAAAAUCAACCCCCCCCCCCGCUUUGUCUGGUAAAAGGGGGAAAUUGCGACACGUUUCCGGGUCCCAUUUAAUUGCUAGACCUAUUUGGGUGAGAGAAAGAGAAGAGUUUGAAGGGGUCUAUCGUAUACCAUGCAGUUGUGGACAAGUUUGCAUAGGGACCACCAAACGCAGCAUUGCCCAAACACAAAUCAAGGAUCAUGAAAGGCACUUGAUGAACCAACCUGGGCACAGCAUAUUAUUUGAGAACACAGAAAUGCUGGACCACUCUAACAACCACCAUGUCUGACUACGCAGAGAAGCCGUUGAAAUCCACAAAUAUGUGAACAAUUUCAACAGAAACCACAAAAAUUAACAAAAUCUGGUUACCAGUAUUUUAAAAACUCUAAAAUCAGGACAAUAAAUAAAGGACAACACUCAGAGAUUGUGAGGUAUAUUGGAAACUAGGCAAGGGAGGUUUAUAUAUCUGUGGAAGGUCCAGGGUGGGAGAAAGAACUCUUGUCUGUUGGAGGCAAGUGUGAAUGUUGUAAAGCCAAGCCUUGAAGCUGCAAAGCCAUUAGAUGCUAAUCAAGGUGAUUAAUUACAGCAUUGACACUUGUCUGGGCAGACAAGAGUUCUUUCUCCCACCCAGAACAUUCCAGGGAUAUAUAACCCCCACUUGCCUAGUUUCAAUAUACCUUACAACCUCUGAGAAUGCCUGCUAUAGAUGUGGGCAAAACAUCAAGAGAGAAUGCUUCUGGAACAUGGCCAUACAGCCCGGAAAACUCACAGCAACCCAGUUAUUCUGGCUAUGAAAGCCUUCAACAACACUUUGACUUCAAACCAAGAACACCUUCAAAAAAAGGGCAUUAGUCCUUCCUGUAGGAGAGGUGUUGUGUGUUACUUUGUUACUCACUCACUAGAUGGAUUGACUCAGUCAAGGAAGCCAUGUAUCUGUGUGUGUGUGUUGGGAUGUCUCUGCCAUGGAUUUCGGGGUCAUGCUGUAUUCCUUAUCUGGGCAGCUGGAUCAUCCAUGUUUCCUUAGAGCCAAUAAGAACUGGGCUGCUUUAUGGCCAAUAUGUAGCACCUAUUUCUUCCUCUUUUUCCUUCCCCCAGAGUAAGUGAGAAUCUUUCAGUAACUUUUCUUAGGUCAAAAGAUAUAUGUGGCCAAUCCAGAAAAUAGUAGUAUGUGUAGGUGCCAUGUCUGAAUCUAAGAUGGCAGCAGUGGUCAUGUGGACAACAUUUCACUCUCUUUUCAUCUAGAAAAUUAAUUUAAGUGGGAAAACAGCCAUAAUGUGAACAGAGCAGGUUGUUCCUAACAUCUCUGUAACGCUUGCCAUGUUGGAUUCAAUGAUGGCUGUUGCAAAUGUACAGUCACACAUGAAAACACUUUGUAAAA